rnacentral:rRNA from 1 species
UACGGAGGAUGCGAGCGUUAUCCGGAUUUAUUGGGUUUAAAGGGUGCGCAGGCGGAAUGUCAAGUCAGCGGUAAAAAUUCGGGGCUCAACCCCGUCCGGCCGUUGAAACUGGGGGCCUUGAGUGGGCGAGAAGAAGGCGGAAUGCGUGGUGUAGCGGUGAAAUGCAUAGAUAUCACGCAGAACCCCGAUUGCGAAGGCAGCCUUCCGGCGCCCAACUGACGCUGAAGCACGAAAGCGUGGGUAUCGAACAGG